rnacentral:rRNA from 1 species
GUGCAUGCGGCGGCUAUACUGCAGUCGACGCUUCUUUUUCCACCGGAGCUUGCUCCCCGGAAAAGGAGGAGUGGCGAACGGGGGAGUAACACGUGGGUAACCUGCCCAUCAGAAGGGGAUAACACUUGGAAACAGGUGCUAAUACCGUAUAACAAUCAAAACCGCAUGGUUUUGAUUUGAAAGGCGCUUUCGGGUGUCGCUGAUGGAUGGACCCGCGGUGCAUUAGCUAGUUGGUGAGGUAACGGCUCACCAAGGCCACGAUGCAUAGCCGACCUGAGAGGGUGAUCGGCCACAUUGGGACUGAGACACGGCCCAAACUCCUACGGGAGGCAGCAGUAGGGAAUCUUCGGCAAUGGACGAAAGUCUGACCGAGCAACGCCGCGUGAGUGAAGAAGGUUUUCGGAUCGUAAAACUCUGUUGUUAGAGAAGAACAAGGAUGAGAGUAACUGUUCAUCCCUUGACGGUAUCUAACCAGAAAGCCACGGCUAACUACGUGCCAGCAGCCGCGGUAAUACGUAGGUGGCAAGCGUUGUCCGGAUUUAUUGGGCGUAAAGCGAGCGCAGGCGGUUUCUUAAGUCUGAUGUGAAAGCCCCCGGCUCAACCGGGGAGGGUCAUUGGAAACUGGGAGACUUGAGUGCCGAAAAGGAGAGUGGAAUUCCAUGUGUAGGGGGCGAAAUA